AUUGAACGCUGGCGGCAGGCUUAACACAUGCUAGUCGAGCGGGGGGAGGUAGCUUGCUACCGGACCUAGCGGCGGACGGGUGAGUAAUGCUUAGGAAUCUGCCUAUUAGUGGGGGACAACAUCUCGAAAGGGAUGCUAAUACCGCAUACGUCCUACGGGAGAAAGCAGGGGAUCUUCGGACCUUGCGCUAAUAGAUGAGCCUAAGUCGGAUUAGCUAGUUGGUGGGGUAAAGGCCUACCAAGGCGACGAUCUGUAGCGGGUCUGAGGGGAUGGUCCGCGACCAUGGGCCUGAGACACGGCCCAGGCUCCUACGGGAGGCAGGAGUGGGGAAUAUUGGACAAUGGGGGGAACCCUGAUCCAGCCAUGACGCGUGUGGGAAGAAGGCCUUAUGGUUGUAAAGCACUUUAAGCGAGGAGGAGGCUACUUUAGUUAAUACCUAGAGAUAGUGGACGUUACUCGCAGAAUAAGCACCGGCUAACUCUGUGCCAGCAGCCGCCGUAA
rnacentral:rRNA from 1 species